ensembl:snRNA U2 U2 spliceosomal RNA
AUUACUUUUUGGCCUUUUGGCUAAGAUCAAGUGCAGUAUCUGUUCUUUUCAGUUUAAUAUGAUAUGUCCUCUAUCUGAGGACAAUCUAUUAAAUGGAUUUUUGGACCAAGGAGAUGGAAUAGGAGCUUGCUUUGUCUACUCCACGCAUUUGACCUGGUAUUGCAGUACCUCCUAUCACAAAUAGGAGAUA